AAACAGGAUUAGAUACCCUGGUAGUCCACGCCCUAAACGAUGUCAACUAGUUGUUGGGGAUUCAUACUUCCUUAGUAACGUAGCUAACGCGUGAAGUUGACCGCCUGGGGAGUACGGUCGCAAGAUUAAAACUCAAAGGAAUUGACGGGGACCCGCACAAGCGGUGGAUGAUGUGGAUUAAUUCGAUGCAACGCGAAAAACCUUACCUACCCUUGACAUGCCAGGAACCCAGCUGAGAGGUGGGAGUGCUCGAAAGAGAAAGUGGACACAGGUGCUGCAUGGCUGUCGUCAGCUCGUGUCGUGAGAUGUUGGGUUAAGUCCCGCAACGAGCGCAACCCUUGUCUCUAGUUGCUACGAAAGGGCACUCUAGAGAGACUGCCGGUGACAAACCGGAGGAAGGUGGGGAUGACGU
rnacentral:rRNA from 1 species